GGGGGGGGGGGGGGGGGGGGGGUAUAUUGUUUUGCUCAUGUCCGUCCGUCCGUAUGUAUGUCAGUCCACCAGAUGGUUUUCGGAUGAUAACUCAAGAGCGCUUAGGCCUAGGAUCAUGAAACUUCAAAGGUACAUUGAUCAUGACUCACAGAUGACCCCUAUUGAUUUUGAGGUCACUAAGUCAAAGGUCAAGGUCACAGUGACCCGAAAUAGUAAAAUGGUUUCCGGAUGAUAACUCAAGAACGCUUAUGCCUAGGAUCAUGAAACUUGAUAGAUAGAUUGAUCAUGACUCGCAGAUGACCCCUAUUGAUUUUCAGGUCACUAGGUCAAAGGUCAAGGUCACGGUGACCCGAAACAGUAAAAUGGUUUCCGGAUGAUAACUAAAGAACGCUUAUGGCUAGGAUCAUGAAACUAUAUAGGUAGAUUGAUAAUGACUGGCAGAUGACCCCUAUUGAUUUUCAGGUCACUAGGUCAAAGGUCAAGGUCACGGUGACCCGAAAUAGUAAAAUGGUUCCCGGAUGAUAAUUCAAGAACGCUUAUGCCUAGGAUCAUGAAACUUGAUAGGUACAUUGAUCAUGACUCGCAGAUGACCCCUAUUGAUUUUCAGGUCACUUUGUCAAAGGUCAAGGUCACAGUGACCCGAAAUAGUAAAAUGGUUUCCGGAUGAUCACUCAAGAAUGCUUAUGCCUAGGAUCAUGAAACUUGAUAGGUAGAUUGAUCAUGACUCGCAGUUGAUCCCUAUUGAUUUUCAGGUCACUAUAUCAAAGGUCAAAGUCACGGUGACCCGAAAUAGUAAAAUGGUUUCUGGAUGAUAACUCAACGCUUAUGGCUACGAUCAUGAAACUUCAUAGGAACAUUGAUCAUGACUCGCAGAUGACCCCUAUUGAUUUUGAGGUCACUAGGUCAUAGGUCAAGGUAAUGGUGACCCGAAAUAGUAAAAUGGUUUCCGGAUGAUAACUCAAGAACGCUUAUGCCUAGGAUCAUGAAACUUCAUAGGUACAUUGAUCAUGACUCGCUGAUGACCCCUAUUGAUUUUCAGGUCACUAGGUCAAAGGUCACGGUGACCCGAACUAGUAAAAUGGUUUCCGGAUGAUUACUGAAGAACGCUUAUGCCUAGGAUCAUGAAACUUGAUUGGAAGAUUGAUCAUGACUGGCAGAUGACCACAUUGAUUUUCAGGUCACUAAGUCAAAGGUCAAGGUCACGGUGACCUGAAGUAGUAAAAUGGUUUCCGGUAGAUAACUCAAGAACGCUUAUGGCUAGGAUCAUGAAACUUCAUAGGUACAUUGAUCAUGACUCGCAGAUGACCCCUAUUGAUUUUCAGGUCACUAUGUCAAAGGUCAAGGUCACGGUGACCCGAAAUAGUAAAAUGGUUUCCGGAUGAUAACUCAAGAACGCUUAUGGCUAGGAUCAUGAAACUUCAUAGGUACAAUUAUCAUGACUCGCAGACGACCCCUAUUGAUUUUCAGGUCACUAUGUCAAAGGUCAAGGUCACAGUGACAAAAAACAUAUUCACACAAUGGCUGUCACUACAACGGAGAGUCCAUAUGGGGGUCAUGCAUGUUUUACAAACAGCCCUUGUUAUUUAGUAAAAAAAGCUUGUGAACACUCUUGAAAUCACAUUUUUUGCCCAAUCAUCAUGAAACUUGGUACAAAGAUUGGUUUUAUAUAUAUCACAUAAUUAAUGCCAUAAUUAUUGCCCUUAGAUUGUCCAAAGUUUCAUUAUAUUAUACAAAAUCCUUGUUAACACUCUAGAGGUCACAAUUUUGUUUUAGAUUUUAUGAAUCUUGGUCAUAAUAUUUAUUUUUGUAAGCAAAGUUUGAUGUUUAGUAAGGGGGGGGGGGUCAACUCAAAAUAUAGGUCACCAGGUCAAAUCUUACAAAAACAAAAACACUCCAUAUGCCAGAGUUUUGGUUCAAUAAUGAUGAAACUUGAUUAGGAUGUUUGUCAGGACAAUAUCUAGGUCAAGUUUGACAUUUGGUAAAGAUUAAAUGAACCGACUCCUCUCAGGUGAGCGAACUAGGGCAAUCUUGGCCCUCAUGUUAGACUUGCUGAGAGUAUAGCAAAUAUGAUGGAAAUCUUAUUAUAAGAACCAGUUAAUAUACAGUUUCUAAAGCAAUCACCUCUUUAUUAAUAUAUCGUCAGAAUAUCGCAUUCCCAGGACACGAAACGCGCAAUUUUACAAGCGAACAAAUGAAAAGGGUUUACUCUCGAAUAAUUUGGAUGAUUUUUUUUGUGUGCCGAAAUUGUGUGUGUACGAAGCCUGCAUGUAAACAUAGCUUAGGAGUAAAUUCGCGUGUCGAAAACGCAGAACUAUUUAGUAUUAGUAUUUCAACGUUAAAGACCUGGUGUUGCGUUGCCACGUUUCUUGGUCAAUAAAACCAAUUCUGACAAGAA